rnacentral:lncRNA from 1 species
UUUAUCUUCCAUGGUUCCUGAUAUAUCCGCGCAUGAUUUAACACCAAGGGUAGUGGUACAAAGUUUCCAUUAUCCAGCGCUGACUUCAACCACCGCAGCAUCAACCGUGACAUAGUUUAGUGUGGCAAAUCCAAUAAGAUCAAAGAGAAAUGCUACUAGGAUCAGUAUAAAGCUGAUCAACAAAAUCUUAGAUAUUUCUAUAGCCAUCUUUAUCCGAAAAAACAA